AUUUAAAUAGCUUAUAAAGAGCAUAAUAUUGAAGAUAUUAAGGAGAUUGUAAAAUCUUUAAAUA
rnacentral:tRNA from 1 species